GAUGAACGCUGGCGGCGUGGCUAAUACAUGCAAGUCGAGCGAAUGGAUUAAGAGCUUGCUCUUAUGAAGUUAGCGGCGGACGGGUGAGUAACACGUGGGUAACCUGCCCAUAAGACUGGGAUAACUCCGGGAAACCGGGGCUAAUACCGGAUAACAUUUUGAACCGCAUGGUUCGAAAUUGAAAGGCGGCUUCGGCUGACACUUAUGGAUGGACCCGCGUCGCAUUAGCUAGUUGGUGAGGUAACGGCUAACCAAGGCAACGAUGCGUAGCCGACCUGGGAGGGUGAUCGGCCACACUGGGACUGAGAAAAGGCCCAGACUCCUACGGGAGGCAGCAGUAGGGAAUCUUCCGCAAUGGACGAAAGUCUGACGGAGCAACGCCGCGUGAGUGAUGAAGGCUUUCGGGUCGUAAAACUCUGUUGUUAGGGAAGAACAAGUGCUAGUUGAAUAAGCUGGCACCUUGACGGUACCUAACCAGAAAGCCACGGCUAACUACGUGCCAGCAGCCGCCGCAG
rnacentral:rRNA from 1 species